UCCUGGUUAACCCAGGCAGUCUCAUUAGAGUUCCCACCUUUACGUGUUGGCAACUAAUGAUAAGGGUUGCGCUCGUUGCUGGACUUAACCAAACACCUCACGGCACGAGCUGACGACAGCCAUGCAGCACCUGUGCAGAAGCCCCGAAGGGAAACACUAUUUCUAAUGUCGUCUUCUGCAUGUCAAGCCUGGGUAAGGUUCUUCGCGUUGCAUCGAAUUAAACCACAUGCUCCACUGCUUGUGCGGGUCCCCGUCAAUUCUUUUGAGUUUCACCCUUGCGAGCGUACUCCCCAGGCGGUGUACUUAACGCGUUAGCUACGGCACAAUUGGGGUUGAUUCCAAUUACACCAAGUACACAUCGUUUAGGGCAAGGACUAC
rnacentral:misc_RNA from 1 species